GAAAUUGUGGGGGGUCAAUUUUUUCUCAUUUCAGAUUUCAGAAAUUAAAAAAAUUAUUCUUCAAAUAUUUUUUUUUUUCAAAUUUCAAAUAUUGAAAAAUUUCAAGAAGAAAUCUUUAAUUGCACAGUAUGGCGCAUUAGAUUUGUAAAAUCUUUGAUCACAUUUAUUUAUUUGUUAUGCCGAAUCCAACAGUGUAUUUAGAUUUUUAAUUUUGGGUCCAGUUUUCAAAUUGGUCUACAUUAAGGUCCAAAGGGUCCAAAAUUAAACUUUGUUUGAUUUUAGCAAAAAUUGAAUAUAUGAGGUUCUUUGAUAUGCUGAAUCUAAACAUGUAUUUAGAUUUUUGAUUUUUGGCUCAGUUUUCAAGUUGGUCCAAAUUGGGGUCCAAAAUUAAACUUUGUUUGAUUUCAACAAAAAUUGAAUAUAUGGGGUUCCUUGAUAUGCUGAAUCUAACCAUGUAUUUAGAUUUUUUAAUUGUGGACCCCGUUAUCAAAUUGGUUCAUAUUGAGGUCAAAAGGGUCCAAAAUUAAACUUUGUUUGAUUUCAUCUAAAAUUGAAUUAUUGGGGUUCUUUGAUAUUCCAAAUCUAACCGUGUAUUUUGAUUUUUAAUUUUGGGUCCCGUUUUUUAAAUUGGUCUACAUUAAGGUCCAAAGGGCCCAAAAUUAAACUUAGUUUGAUUUUAACAAAAAUUGAAUUCUUGGUGUUCUUUGAUAUGCUGAAUCUAAACAUGUGUUUAGAUUUUUGAUUAUGGGCCCAGUUUUCAAGUUGGUCUAAGUUGGGGUCCAAAAUUAAACUUUUUUUGAUUUCAACAAAAAUUGAAUAUAUGGGGUUCUUUGAUAUGCUGAAUCUAACCAUGAAUUUAGAUUUUUUAUUUGUGGGCCCUGCUAUCAAAUUGGUUCAUAUUGAGGUCAAAAGGGUCCAAAAUUAAACUUUGUUUGAUUUCAUCAAAAAUUGAAUUAUUGGGGUUCUUUGAUAUGCCAAAUCUAACCGUGUAUUUAGAUUUUUAAUUUUAAGUCCCGUUUUUUAAAUUGGUCUACAUUAAGGUCCAAAGGGUCCAAAAUUAAACUUAGUUUGAUUUUAGCAAAAAUUGAAUUCUUGGGGUUAUUUGAUAUGCUGAAUCUAAACAUGUGUUUAGAUUUUUGAUUAUGGGGCCAGUUUUCAAUUUUGUCCAAGUUGGGGUCCAAAAUUAAACUUUGUUUGAUUUUAACAAAAAUUGAAUAUAUGGGGUUCUUUGUAAGCUGAAUCUAACCAUGUAUUUUGAUUUUGGACAUUGGACCAUAAUAGGUAAAUUAAAAAAAUUCAAGUUCUUAGACCACAUUCUUUCUGUGUCAGAAACCUCUGCUGUGUCAAAUAUUUAAUAACAAUCCAAAUUCAGAGCUGUAUCAAGCUUGAAUGUUGUGUCCAUACUUGCCCCAACUGUUCAGGGUUCGACCUCUGCAGUCGUAUCAAGCUGCGCCCCAGCGAAGCAUUUUAUUUGGCCUUCUGAAAAUAUCCAUUCAAAUAAUAAAAAAGAAGAAGCCAUUUCACUUGGGGUUUUUGAAAUUGGUGUCAUUUACAAAUGUAUAUAAAAUCCUCCAAGUGACACAAGUAAUUCCAAAGUAUGUAGAAAUUAAAUAAUAGUUUAAAAAAAUAUUUUGAGUUAGCUCAUAUGCUUGAGUUCAGAAUAGAUUGAUAUAAACAAAAAGUUGACAGAAAUGAAAAUUAUUUGUUAUGGUGCAAACAGGCAAGGCACAUCUCUCUGUUUCAACAACUUACAAUAAAUGUGUUAAAUGCUACAACAUUGAAUACUGUGGAGUCAUUUUAUUUUUGGUGGGUACCAAUUUUCAUGGAUUGAGGGAAAAUGGAAUUUGUGUAAAUUAUUUGAUUUCAUGGUUUUUGGCAAAGUCUGCAUACAAACCUAUUAAAAUAUGUACUUCUUAAAAGAUUUAAAUUCGUGGUACACCUUUAGGCUCAAAAUCCAAGAAAACUGGUUCUCCACAAGUGAUAAUGAAUCCACAGUAUCAGAAAUCAAGGGGUUCUUUUAAUAAAACAGAAUAAUAGUUGUAUCCUGCUUAUUGUACUGUAUUUGCCAGCUUUACACCCAAAUGUUAUAGUUUUGAAAAUCUUAUUCUUAAAUGUCUAUCAAUCUGUCAUUAUUAUGAUAAAUUGAAACUUUCAUUAUGCUGGUAGCUUUUUUAUGCACAAAUACCAGCAAAUGAAUAUUUAAGAUAAAGUUAAAACAUGUUAUUGGUAUAUAUUUUUGUCACUCUCAACAUAUUGGAGGGAACAAUUUUUUUUUCAUCAAAUAUUAAUUUAACUCAAUUCACUUUUUGAUGAAAAAUUAUUUGAUUUGUUUUGAAAAUAUAUAUUUGCUGAAAAUAUUAUUGACAGUUACAAAGAAGGGUGAGCAUCAGAAUUUGCUAAACAUUUCUAGUUUGUAAUGAGUAUCAAAAGGAGCUAUGUUCACUAAUGUAUAGUUAUAUAUAUCUGUUUAUUUAAUAUUGUAUAUCAAAGACUCUCUAGAUGUAGUUAAUUUGUAUAUGUACAGUGUACAAAGGAAGCAAAAAGUAAUCAGUUAGGCAGCUUUAUUGUACCGGUGGGGAAAAUGUUAUAAUAUUAUUUUUGAAAAGGUCCCUAAGAACUUUUAACUUUGUAAUCCCUCUCUCUUAAGAGCACAUUUAAGGUAUCAAAUCUUUUAACAAAUUUUGUGGCAAUAUUAAAUAUAUAUACUGGGUAAUGUUAAUAUUCUUCAAAUGAUUUGAAGGAGCAUAAAAUGCCUCUUAUUUUAACUAAUUAGGUUUUCUCUCCUCUAAAAGACAUCUUUUAAUUAAUUCUUUUCCUUAAGUUUAUUUGAAAAAAAAGAUAAAACAACUUUUGAAUGUAUUGUUUCAAGUUUCUGAGCAGUGUUUUGGUCCAAAAACAUAAAACUUAAUUUGCUCAAAGCAUUUCCAACUUUGGUGGUACCUGUAGAUCGCGUUGAAAAUGCGUUUUGAGUUAGCUAAUGAAUGAAAUAUGUGCUAGGUGAGGGAUUGAUACAGACUUUUGGUUAUUCCAGGAAUGAAAACACUUUCUAAGUAUUUUCUGAGAAGUAAACAACAUAAAUGCUAUAAAACACCUAAAAAGACAGUAUAGCAAUGUUUUGAAAAUUAAUUUGUUGAAAUUGUACAGGAAUGUAGAAAUAUCCUUUCAUUUAAUAUGUGUCAAAGAACAAUAGAUUUAUGAUACAUGUAUAUCAUUACCUAGGUUGUUAAACUUUUUUUCCCUGGUAUUUUAAUAAUUUGUGGUUCCAAAUGACUUUUAAUUUAUCUUAUUUUUUAUCAUUUAUAGAAUCUUAAAAGUAGAUUAUGUUAUAUUAACAUAUUGAACUACAGUAAUAUCCAAAGGCUAUAAUGCUUUUUUAAUUGCAAAAUACUUUAGAUAUGUUUUGCAAGAUCUUUUUAUCUCCCUUUUUGUAAUGCAUUUAUAAUGAGGAUAACAACAAUGUUUGUUAUGUCAUCAAAAGGAUAAAUAAUUAAUUUCUGAGUAUUUCCAUAUGUAUAUGAGGAAAUGAGAAAAGUCAUUUAUUCUGUCUUUAUUUAGUAGUUUUUUUUGCAGGAACCAAUUUUUGCAGAUUGAGGAAAAAUUGUACUUUUGUGGAUGAUAUUUGUUUAGGGAUUUCAGUUUUUACCAUGUCAUUUGUUAAGGUUAGCUUCAAAAUUGGGGCAUAUUUUUAUUUAUCAAUCACAAAGGUAUAACCUGAUCUUCAUCUGUUGCAAGAAUAGAACAUGAGCAUUAUCAUGAUUACUACAAUGGUACUAUAUGUGAAGUUCUUGUGACAUAACUUUAUGUUUUAACUGUUAAUAGAUUCUGUGAUAGUUGUUUCUUGUUAAUAUUGUGGUUAUUUAGACUUUUUUCAUUGUCAAUAUCAUUUUAUUGUUUAUAUUGUGACAUUGUAUUUUAAAUGUUAUGCAAACUAAUAAAUCUCUGAUUUUUAUUUUACAAUCUGG